GACGGAGGAUGCAAGCGUUAUCCGGAAUUAUUGGGCGUAAAGCGUCCGCAGGUGGACAUACAAGUCUGCUGUCAAAGUGCAGAGCUUAACUCUGUAAAGGCGGUGGAAACUGUAGGUCUUGAGUAUGGUAGGGGUAGAGGGAAUUCCCGGUGUAGCGGUGAAAUGCGUAGAUAUUGGAAAGACCACCGAUGGCGAAGGCACUCUACUGGGCCAUUACUGACACUGAGAGACGAAAGCUAGGGGAGCAAAUGGG
rnacentral:rRNA from 1 species